GAUGAAGAACGUAGCGAAAUGCGAUAAGUAAUGUGAAUUGCAGAAUUCAGUGAAUCAUCGAAUCUUUGAACGCACAUUGCGCCCGCCAGUAUUCUGGCGGGCAUGCCUGUCUGAGCGUCAUUUCAACCCUCAUGCCCCUAGGGCGUGGUGUUGGGGAUCGGCCAAAGCCCGCGAGGGACGGCCGGCCCCUAAAUCUAGUGGCGGACCCGUCGUGGCCUCCUCUGCGAAGUAGUGAUAUUCCGCAUCGGAGAGCGAUGAGCCCCUGCCGUUAAACCCCCAACUUUCCAAGGUUGACCUCAGAUCAGGUAGGAAUACCCGCUGAACUUAAGCAUAUGAAUAAGCGGAGGA
rnacentral:misc_RNA from 1 species